AACGAACGCGGGCGGCGUGCCUAACACAUGUAAGUCGAACGUGAUUGGAAGCUUGCUUCCAUGAAAGUGGCGCACGGGUGAGUAGCGCGUAGAUAAUCUGCCUGAUGCUCUGGGAUAACAUUUCGUAAGGGGUGCUAAUACCGGAUAAGCCCACGGGGUCUUCGGACCUUGCGUGAAAAGAGGGGGACCUUCGGGCCUCUCGACAUCAGAUGAGUCUACGUACCAUUAGCUGGUUGUUAGGGUAAAGGCCUACCAAGGCUACGAUGGUUAGCUGGUCUGAGGGGAUGGUCAGCCACACUGCAACUGAGACACGGUACAGACUCCUACGGGAGACAGCAGUGGGGGACUUUGCGCAAUAGGCGAAAGCCUGACGCAGCAACGCCGCGUGAGUGAUGAGGGCCUUCGGGUCGUAAAGCUCUGUCAGAGGGGAAGAACCGCCGAAAGGCUAAUAUCCUUUUGGUCUGACGGUACCCUCAAAGGAAGCACCGGCUAACUCCGUGCCAGCAGCCGCAGUAACAC
rnacentral:rRNA from 1 species